GUGUGUAUCUAGCUGUGAUAAUACCAAUAUGUACAUGAAGCUUCGAAAAACAGUAACAUGUUGAUUGCAGGCCCGGGAACCGGCUCAUAUAUUGGGCUAAGACUUGUUUGUUUUACGCGAUUUAAUAUGAACGGAGUCAAUAAGGACAUUUCGAUGUUACUCGCGAACUCGCAGUGUGCACGCAAGGCACACCGUUUGAGGUUUGCGUCUAGCGAGCUUUAUUUCUGUUUUUGAUCGCCUUCGCGUUGUGACUUAAAAAAACAUUGCGAGGAAAUGUCAAAUCAUUUCCUAAAUAAUUACCUCCUCAAAAUUCAGUUUUCACAGGUAAACGCUCGUCGUCGUGUGAAGAUCGCGAAGCUUGCGAGUGAUAUCGAAACGCAGCUAAUGUCGAUAGUUGUCGUGUGCGACGGAUGUUAUAUUAAAAUCGGAAUUUUCAACCCUUUUUUUCGCCAACAAAAGGAGAAAUUGUUGGGUCGGGUCCGCCAAAACCUAACGUUAAUUUAAAAUUUACAGUGACAAGCGUCACGCAGAAAUUUCAUUGAAAAGUGCAUUCGGUUAACCGGAAGUUGCAAAUAGAUUAUUUUGCUGGCCGUGUCUUUUUUUCGCGAGCAAUAAAUAGGUUUUAAGGUAAAACAUCUUCAGACAUUACUAAACUAGAUUGCUUUGCAUCUCAGCGAACAGAGUUCAUGGAAUCCAUUUGGAGGACACAUUGUGACUUUUCGAGUGAUUAUUACCUUGCAGAUCGGUUUUUAUUAUGAAGGAAAAUUAAGAUCUCGCCCGUGGAGAGGGGAGGUAAAAAUGUUGAUUCUUGAAAUAAAAAAGUUAAUAAUCAAUAUUGACAACUCAAUUGAAUUGAUAUUAAACGUUUCGCUGGUGGGAUAUAGACAGAAUCAAAAUGAAAGUUGAUGCAAAAUUACAAAUAACACAAAAUGGAGUGGCAAGUGUGGUCAUAGAAGAUUAACCUCGCUUAGAGAUGAGCGAAAAAUAAGAGAUAUUGGGGGACGGAAUAAAUAAUGGGCGUUUUACAAGAGAUGACGCUGAUAGUUGAAAUGUACAGAGUAUUUUUUUAAUCAUCCAUUUUUCAAUCAAAUGGAAAUUUUUAACCAAAUGGAAAAGUUUGAGAAGUUUUGUUUCACCCGCUUUACUCUCCGGACAUUGCAUUUUCGGACUAUCAUUUGUUCUGAUCGACGCAAAGAAUUUUACACAACCAGCAUUUCAAAAACUACUCAAAAGCCAAAAAUUGGAAUACUUUACUUAAUUUCAGCUGUAAAUGUUUUUUAAA